rnacentral:rRNA from 2 species
AGAAUGAACGUUGGCGGCGUGGAUUAGGCAUGCAAGUCGAGCGAGAAGUUUCUCUUCGGAGAAAUGGACAGCGGCAAACGGGGUAGUAAUGCGCAGGUGACGUACCCCAAGGACCGGGAUAGCUGCGGGAAACUGCAGGUAAUACCGGAUGAUCUCUCAGGAUGUGGUUAUUUUGAGAGCAAAUGGUGUGAUUCCGCCUUGGGAGCGGCUUACGUGGUACUAGCUAGUUGGUGAGGUAACGGCUCACCAAGGCUCAGAUGCCUAGGGGGUGUGAGAGCAUGGCCCCCACCACUGGGACUGAGACACUGCCCAGACACCUACGGGUGGCUGCAGUCGAGAAUCUUCGGCAAUGGGCGAAAGCCUGACCGAGCGACGCCGCGUGCGGGAUGAAGGCCCUUGGGUUGUAAACCGCUGUCAGAGGGGAUGAAAUGCUGGAUGGCUAUCCGUCCAGUUUGACAGAGCCUCAGAGGAAGCACGGGCUAAGUACGUGCCAGCAGCCGCGGUAACACGUACUGUGCAAACGUUAUUCGGAAUCACUGGGCUUAAAGGGUGCGUAGCGGCCGGCUAAGUAGGGUGUGAAAUCCCUCGGCUCAACCGAGGAACUGCGCUCUAAACUGGUCGGCUUGAGUGAGAUAGGGGUGUGCGGAACUUCCAGUGGAGC